GAACCGUACAAACGUUAUUCGGAAUCACUGGGCUUAAAGGGUGUGUAGGCGGUCUGGCAAGUUGGGUGUGAAAUUCCUCGGCUCAACCGAGGAAUUGCGCUCAAUACUGCCAGACUUGAGGGAGACAGAGGUGAGCGGAACUUAGGGUGGAGCGGUGAAAUGCGUUGAUAUCCUAAGGAACACCAGUGGCGUAAGCGGCUCACUGGGUCUCUUCUGACGCUGAGACACGAAAGCUAGGGGAGCGAACGGGGGAUUAGAUACCCCGGUAGUCCUAGCUGUAAACGAUGAGCACUGGGUCGGAGGGUCCUCCAUAGCCCUUCCGGCCGUAGCGAAAGUGUUAAGUGCUCCGCCUGGGGAGUAUGGUCGCAAGGCUG
rnacentral:rRNA from 1 species